GACGAACGCUGGCGGCGUGCUUAACACAUGCAAGUCGAACGGAAAGACCCUGCGUUUGCUGCGCGCUCGAUUGCCGAACGGGUGAGUAACACGUGAGUAUCCUCCCCUUGACUUUCUGAUAACUUCAGGAAACUGCGGCUAUUACCGCAUAUGAGCUCCUGCUCCAUGUUGGUCAUUAGAAAGUUUCGGCGGUGGUGGAUCGACUGGCGGCUUAUCAGCUUCUUUGUCGGGUAGUUGCUUACCAAGGCUUCGACGGGUAGCCGGCCUGGGAGAGGGACCGGCGUCCUUGGGACUGCGAUACGGAGCAGAAGGCUACGGGAGGCAGCAGUGGGGAAUAUUGCAGAAUGGGGGGAAGUGUGAUGUAGCGGUGCCCCGUGCGGGAUGCUGGCUUUCGGGUUGUAAACCGCUUUCGAAUGAGAUGAAGAGUGAGUGACGGUACUGGGUCAAGAAGCACCGGCUAACUACGUG
rnacentral:rRNA from 1 species